rnacentral:lncRNA from 1 species
AUAUGAAAAAGUUAUGAAUUAUUUUUAAUAUAAAGUUUUUAGAUCACUUUGUUUUGACCUAGAUGAGACUUAAAAUCAAGUUUAGGGACUUGUAUGACACAACUGAACAAAUAUGAGGACUUAAACGGGUGAUUUCUAAAUUUAGGGACCGAGAUGACACAACUAAACAAGUUUAGGGACUGAGAUGAUACAGACGAACAAGUUCGAGGAUCUAAAUGGUCGAUUUACGAGUUUAGGGACUGGAAUGACACAUUAAUACAAGUUUAGGGACCGGUGGUGGACUUUACUCUAGCAUUUAAUUUAAUUAGUUUUGUAUAAGUGGCUUUGGAAUUUGUGUGGGAAAACUAAGUGUUUACGAACAGUAAAUAUAAAUGAAUUGUAAUGAUAGAAACCUUAUGUGUGGAUACCAUUUUUCUUCUUUGAGGCAUUCUCGUCGAGAUUUUUUUUUUCUACCCAAGCGUUUUUAUUUUUCCUCGUGACGUGCAUGGUGGUGUUUUCCUAGCGAUGCUUGAGUGGUUUUGCAAUGAGCGUGGUUUUGAGGUGGUUGUCGUACUGUUGCUCUUUAAUAACAUGGUAGUUUUUAUUUGUAUUUUCUACAGGCAUUGUUUAGUUCUAAAUUUUUUUUGAUUUUUGAUACUGUAGCAUUUUCAUUUUUAUUUGGCAAUUAUUGUCUAAUCAUGGACUAACUAGGCUCAAAAGAUUCAUCUCGUGAUUUACACAUAAACUGUGCAAUUAGUUUUUGUUUUCAUCUAUAUUUAAUGCUUUAUGCAUGUGUCGCAAGAUUCGAUGUGACAGAGAAUCUUGAAAAGUUUUCGGUUCUUGGGAUAAACUAAACAAGGCCUAGAUAUAUGCUUAUGUGUUGUAUUGGGUGAAAGGUCCUAAUAUGGCUAGAGGGGGGUGAAUAGCCUAUUUAAAAAUUCUACAAACUCACUAGAGCAAGAGGUUAGUAAAUAACAAAGCGAAGCUUUUUGCCCUAACUCUAAAGGGGUGUUUGCAAGCCACCUAUCUAACAAUUCUAGUUGCUACAAACACUAUGCACACAAGAACUAAGUCUCUACAAGUUACACUAGUGAACUAUGCUACACAAGGCAAAGUAAGCAACUAAACUAAUUACACUAGUUUGUGGUAAGUAAAGAUAGGAAGAGAUAUUCAUACCGUCGUGUAGAGGAUGAACCAAUCACCAAUAUAAACAAUCAAACAACGGG